rfam:Ricinus communis cultivar Hale ctg_1100012351863, whole genome shotgun sequence.
GAUAACAGGUUGAUCAUCCCCAAGAGCUCACAUUGACGGGAAGGUUUGGCACCUCAAUGUCGGCUCUUUGCCACAUGUGGCUGUAGUAUGUUCUAAGGGUUAGGCUGUUUGCCCAUUAAAGCGGUACGUGAGCUGGGUUCAGAAUGUCGUAAGACAAUUU